CAGACGCCAUUUUGGCCCCAGAGGUGCUUCUGGGAAGAGUUGCGCGCGGAGCUUCACUUUGCCGGCCUGUGAGGUACGGCCCUUUCUGGUAGCUGGGGUUUCCAGGGCGAAGCGUCCUUGCCUGCCGCUGCCGACGACUUCUCCGGACUCUGGGACCGGGCAGACGCGCGGCGCCGCCGAGGGAGGUCACCCCGCCAGGAAGGACGUGACGGGGGCGGCGCGUGUCGCGGACACUCCCCGCCGAGAGCCCGCCUGCCAUGGACUCGGAGUACUACAGCGGUGACCAGUCAGAUGAUGGUGGUGCUACCCCAGUACAGGACGAGCGGGAUUCAGGAUCAGAUGGUGAGGAUGAUGUAAAUGAGCAGCACUCUGGAUCUGACACUGGAAGUAUAGACCGGCAUUCAGAGAAUGAAACUAGUGAUCGAGAAGAUGGCUUGAACAAGAGACAUAAUGGAACAGACUCUGAGAAUGAUAAGCCCUCCAAUCUUAAUGCCAGUGACUCGGAAAGUGAGGAACUUCACAGGCCAAAAGACAGUGACUCUGAAUCUGAGGAGCAUGCAGAGUCUCCUGCCAGUGACUCUGAAAACGAAGAUGUCAACCAGCAUGGGAGCGACUCUGAAAACGAAGAGCUUCUCAAUGGGCACGCAAGUGACUCCGAAAAGGAAGAGGUUAGAAAACCUGCUGCCAGUGACUCUGAAGCUGAGGACACUCUGCAGCCUCAGGUCAGCGAGUCUGACAGCGAAGAUCCCCCAAGACCCCAGGCCAGUGACUCAGAAAAUGAGGAGCCUCCCAAACCUCGGAUCAGUGAUUCAGAAAGUGAGGAGCUCCCCAAACCUCGGAUCAGUGACUCAGAAAGUGAGGAUCCUUCAAGGCCACAGGCCAGUGACUCGGAAAGCGAGGAGCUCCCCAAACCCCGAGUCAGCGACUCGGAAAGUGAGGAUCCUCCAAGGCCACAAGCUAGUGACUCGGAAAGCGAGGAGCUCCCCAAACCCCGAGUCAGCGACUCGGAAAGUGAGGAUCCUCCAAGGCCACAGGCCAGUGACUCGGAAAGCGAGGAGCUCCCCAAACCCCGAGUCAGCGACUCGGAAAGCGAGGAGCCUCAGAAAGGACCUGCUAGUGAUUCGGAAGCUGAGGAUGUCUCCAGACACAAAGACAAGCCCGAGUCAGAUGAUAGUGAUGGAGAGAGUAAGAGGGAAGAUUCGGAAAUGCAGAAUGAGUCAGAGGGCCAUGCAGACAGAAAAAGACUCCACAGCUCUGACAGUGAGGAGGAAGGACCGAAAAGGCAGAAAAUGGACAGUGAUGAAGAUGAAGAAAAGGAGGGAGAUGAGGAGAAAGUAGCAAAGCGGAAGGCUGCUGUGCUCUCUGAUAGUGAAGACGAAGAAAAAGCAACGGCAAAGAAGAGUCGAGUUGUCUCUGAUGCUGACGACUCUGAUAGUGAUGUUGUAUCAGACAAAUCAAGUAAAAGAGAGAAGACAGUAGCAUCUGACAGUGAAGAGGACGUGGGGAAAGAAGAAUCGUCUGUAAAGAAGAGUGAAGAGAAGGAUCUGUUUGGGAGUGAUAGUGAAUCAGGCAAUGAGGAAGAAAAUCUUAUUGCAGAUAUAUUUGGAGAAUCUGGUGAUGAAGAAGAAGAGGAAUUUACAGGGUUUAACCAAGAAGAUUUGGAGGAAGAGAAGAGUGAAACACAGCUAAAAGAAGCGGAAGAUUCCGACUCUGAUGAUAACAUAAAGAGAGGAAAGCAUAUGGACUUCCUGUCAGAUUUUGAGAUGAUGUUACAACGGAAAAAGAACAUGUGUGGCAAACGCAGACGAAAUCGAGAUGGGGGCACUUUUAUUAGUGAUGCAGAUGACGUUGUGAGUGCCAUGAUCGUAAAGAUGAAUGAAGCUGCGGAGGAAGACAGGCAAUUGAAUAAUCAAAAAAAGCCAGCACUGAAAAAAUUAACUUUAUUGCCUACUGUGGUUAUGCACCUUAAAAAGCAGGACCUUAAAGAAACAUUUAUUGACAGUGGCGUGAUGUCUGCCAUCAAAGAAUGGCUCUCACCUCUGCCGGACAGGAGUUUGCCUGCACUGAAGAUUCGGGAGGAGCUGUUGAAGAUUCUGCAAGAGCUACCUAGUGUGAGCCAGGAGACCCUGAAGCAUAGUGGGAUUGGACGAGCAGUGAUGUAUCUGUAUAAACACCCUAAGGAAUCAAGGUCCAACAAGGAUAUGGCAGGGAAAUUAAUCAACGAGUGGUCUCGGCCUAUAUUUGGUCUCACCUCAAACUAUAAAGGAAUGACAAGAGAAGAAAGGGAGCAGAGGGAUCUAGAGCAAAUGCCUCAGCGACGGAGACUGAGCAGCACUGGUGGUCAGACACCGCGAAGAGACUUGGAGAAGGUGCUGACAGGAGAGGAAAAGGCUCUUAGACCUGGAGAUCCUGGCUUCUGUGCCCGCGCUAGAGUUCCAAUGCCAUCAAACAAGGACUAUGUCGUCAGGCCCAAGUGGAAUGUAGAAAUGGAGUCAUCCAGGUUUCAGGCAACCUCCAAGAAAGGUAUCAGUCGACUGGAUAAACAGAUGAGAAAGUUCACAGAUAUCAGGAAAAAAAGCAGAUCUGCACAUGCAGUGAAAAUCAGCAUCGAAGGCAAUAAAAUGCCAUUGUGACCUUGCCUGGGACACGUCCCCAUCUCUAAAUGCACAAUGGACUAUCAAGAAAGAAGAUACUUUUCAAUGUUUAAGCGUGUCUCUACCUGUGGUCGUAGGACUAACGUUUUUCUCCGUUGUAUUUAAGACCAGUUGUUGUCUACUUUGUACAGAAGAAUACUACUCCUGCUUCUAUAAACUACAGGUCAGCCAGUCUCUACUUCCUCCAGACAGCUGGUCUAAGUCUUCUUUGCAGCUUGGCCUCUCUCAGUCAUCUUUGCAGCUUGGCUCAUCCGAGAGUGACGCUCAGCCGACCUUAUUUCUGACUGAAAUGAAAGAUAAAGAUGUGAGCUCUCAGCUGCUGCUCCUGCCUGCCACCUGCUACCUGAAAAAUUUCUGUACCCUGAUAUUAAGCCUCUCUGCUGACACUGUAAUCCAAAUCAAACCGAAUUAAGAAUUAAAAGUCUGGGUUUAAUGAGUAAAA